rnacentral:tRNA from 1 species
GGGCCUGUAGCUUAGUGGCAGAGCACCCGGUUUGCAUCCGGGAGAUAGGAGUUCGAUUCUCCUCAGGUCCACCA